rnacentral:lncRNA from 1 species
GGGUUUGUCCUAUAACAUUAUUAACUAAUGCCAGAAUUUAGGUCACAACUAAAUAGCCAGAACAUUUACCAAUUAACAGAAAAUUGAUACAUCAUUUAUUCAAACACACUUGUUUGUCUUCACAGCAGGAUAUUGUCUAAUUUCCACAAUAUUGUAGAAGACUGACCAGAAAUUACCAGCUGUGGACUAUGACUCUACUAAGG